rnacentral:lncRNA from 1 species
AUGAGUGAUGUUGAGCAUCUUUUCAUGUGUUUGUUAGCCAUCCGUAUGUCUUCUUUGGAGAAAUGUCUAUUUAGUUCUUUGGCCCAUUUUUUGAUUGGGUCGUUUAUUUUUCUGGAAUCAGUUCUGAUGAGAUGGAUGAAACUGGAGCCGAUUAUACAGAGUGAAGUAAGCCAGAAAGAAAAACACCAAUACAGUAUACUAACACAUAUAUAUGGAAUUUAGGAAGAUGGAUGUAUGUUAGUUUCUAAGGUUGACUUUUAUUUGCCUUUGCUGAAGUGGAGUUCAUGUUGUCUUUCCCUUAUACCCUUUCUCUUUAGCCUCUGAUGAAUUCAGGAGUGAUACAAUAGCUCUAAUCUAUGUGCUCUUCAGGAAGAACUGGAGAAAAUUAGAGAAAUGGAUCAGUUCAGUUCAAUCACUCAGUCGUGUCCAACUUUGCAACCCCAUGAACUGUAGCAUGCCAGGCUUACCUGUCCAUCACCAACUCCAGGAGCUUCCUCAAAUUCACGUCCAUCAUGUCAGUGAUGCCAUCCUACCAUCUCAUCCUCUGUCAUCACCUUCUCCUCCUGCCUUCAAUCUUUCCCAGCAUCAGGGUAUUUUCUAGUGAGUCAGUUCUUCACAUCAUGUGGCCAAAGAACUGGAGUUUCAGAUUCAGCAUCAGUCAUUCCAGUGAGCUCUCCCUCUGAAAUUAUUUUUCUAAAUGUGACUCUGUCAAAAAAUUUGAGGGUACUACAUUAACAAUAUCUGU